GACGAACGCUGGCGGCGUGCUUAACACAUGCAAGUCGAACGGAAAGACCCUGCUUUUGUGGGGUGCUCGAGUGGCGAACGGGUGAGUAACACGUGAGUAACCUGCCCUUGACUUUGGGAUAACUUCAAGAAACUGGGGCUAAUACCGGAUAGGAGCUCCUGCUGCAUGGUGGGGGUUGGAAAGUUUCGGCGGUUGGGGAUGGACUCGCGGCUUAUCAGCUUGUUGGUGGGGUAGUGGCUUACCAAGGCUUUGACGGGUAGCCGGCCUGAGAGGGUGACCGGCCACAUUGGGACUGAGAUACGGCCCAGACUCCUACGGGAGGCAGCAGUGGGGAAUAUUGCACAAUGGGCGGAAGCCUGAUGCAGCAACGCCGCGUGCGGGAUGACGGCCUUCGGGUUGUAAACCGCUUUCGCCUGUGACGAAGCGUGAGUGGCGGUAAUGGGUAAAGAAGCACCGGCUAACUACAUG
rnacentral:rRNA from 1 species